UACGGGGGGGGUAAGCGUUGUUCGGAAUUACUGGGCGUAAAGGGCUCGUAGGCGGCCAACUAAGUCGGACGUGAAAUCCCUCAGCUUAACUGGGGAACUGCGUCCGAUACUGGAUGGCUUGGAUUUGGGAGAGGGAUGCGGAAUUCCAGGUGUAGCGGUGAAAUGCGUAGAUAUCUGGAGGAACACCGGUGGCGAAGGCGGCAUCCUGGACCAACACUGACACUGAUGAGCGAAAGCCAGGGGAGCAAACGGG
rnacentral:rRNA from 1 species